GUUUCAUUUUGAGAUAGGCCUGAACUUUUCCGAUUAAGAGUUCUUGAGUUAAAUGCAUCUGAUGAACGUGGAAUACAAGUAGUUCGAGAGAAAGUGAAAAAUUUUGCUCAAUUAACUGUGUCAGGAAGUCGUUCAGAUGGGAAGCCGUGUCCGCCUUUUAAGAUUGUGAUUCUGGAUGAAGCAGAUUCUAUGACCUCAGCUGCUCAGGCAGCUUUAAGACGUACCAUGGAGAAGGAGUCUAAAACCACCCGAUUCUGUCUUAUCUGUAACUAUGUCAGUCGAAUAAUUGAACCCCUGACCUCUAGAUGUUCAAAAUUCCGCUUCAAGCCUCUGUCAGAUAAAAUUCAACAGCAGCGAUUACUAGACAUUGCCAAGAAGGAAAAUGUCAAAAUUAGUGAUGAGGGAAUAGCUUAUCUUGUUAAAGUGUCAGAAGGAGACUUAAGAAAAGCCAUUACAUUUCUUCAAAGUGCUACUCGAUUAACAGGUGGAAAGGAGAUCACAGAGAAAGUGAUUACAGACAUUGCUGGGGUAAUACCAGCUGAGAAAAUUGAUGGAGUAUUUGCUGCCUGUCAGAGUGGCUCUUUUGACAAACUAGAAGCUGUGGUCAAGGUAAAGUCAGCUUACUAACUUUGGGGAAAGGAAUAUAAAGUCAUCAUACCAAAAGUUUUUUUAUUAUAGGAUUUAAUUGAUGAGGGUCAUGCAGCAACUCAGCUCGUCAAUCAACUCCAUGAUGUGGUUGUAGAAAAUAACUUAUCUGAUAAACAGAAGUCCAUUAUUACAGAAAAACUUGCCGUAAGUAGGUACUUUGCACAUGUCAGUGGAACAUUUAACUACCUGAAGGAUGCUAAUUUCUUAAAUUUUUCUUAUAGGAGGUUGACAAAUGCCUAGCAGAUGGUGCUGAUGAACAUUUGCAACUCAUCAGCCUUUGUGCAACUGUGAUGCAGCAAUUAUCUCAAAAUUGUUAAAGUGAAUAUAUUUGGAUGGGGGGUUUUGUAAAUGAUGGGGUUGUAAUAAAAAUAAAAUGACCAAAAGCACCUUUAAA
rnacentral:sRNA from 1 species